GGGCUGGAUCCCUCAGCCGCCGCCGCUCCUCCUCCUGGCAGGCCGGCCGCCGAGUCAGCUGACGCCGGCGCUCCAGCCUCGCCUCCCCGCGCCGCGCUCUGCGCUCCCCGAAAGUGGCUGCAAGCCGGCCGCCCACUGUCAGGGUUGGGGGGACAGAGAAAGUGAUGUGCGCCUUCUAAAGCCUCGCCCAGCGCCGCCGAAGCAGCUUCACCUCUCCAACUUUCUCCCACCGACUGCUUGUCUUGACCCUGCCCUCCACCCUCCCCAAAGCCACUUCGGGUGCGCGCUCUUGGGUAAAGGGGGGUCACCGGCUGUCUGGGAUGGCUUCCAAUUUUAAUGACAUAGUGAAGCAAGGGUACGUGAGGAUCCGGAGCAGACGCCUCGGGGUAGCUUGGCCCAUGGUUCUCCCUUUAUUUUACUCAAUGUUCUCAAAACUAAAAUGGCUCUUUAAUUUGAUUUUCAUAAAACGGAAAUUUGGUAGAUCAUAUUUUAUUUAUUAUGUUGUUAAAAUGCCCCAAUCUUCUCAGUAGAUUCAUACACUGAAAAGAAAUAAAAAAGAAAAUACCUUAA
rnacentral:sRNA from 1 species